GAUGAACGCUGGCGGCGUGCCUAAUACAUGCAAGUCGAGCGAACAGACGAGGCUUUUGCUCCUCUUACGUUAGCGGCGGACGUGUGAGUCACACGUGUAUACCCUACCUAUAAUACUGGUAUAUCUUCGCGAAUCCUGAUCUAAUACCGGAUAAUAUCUUGAACCGCAUGGUUCAUUAGUCAUAGCCGGUUUUGCUGUCACUUAUUGAUGGUUCCAGGCGGCUUUAGAUAGUUGGUACGGUAACGGCUUACCAAGGCUACGAUGCGUAGACGACCUGAGAGGGUGAUCGGCGACACGGGAAGUGAGACACGGACAAGAGGACUACGGGAGGCAGCAGUAGGGAAUAGUAGGCAAUGGGCGAAAGCAUGACGGAGCAAGGCCGAGUGAGAGAAGAAGGUCUUCGGAUCGUAAAACUCUGUUAGUAGGGAAGAACAAAAGUGAAAGAAAAAAUGGACGUAUUGACGGUAACUAAUAAAAAAGCAACGGCUAACUACGUG
rnacentral:rRNA from 1 species